AAUAGAAUAACAUUUAUACCAAAGACAGCAGGUGCUGAUAAGCAGCUUAAUUUCCUGCCGAGGUAAUGCGAUAUAUAUUUAUAGUCGUUCGCUGGCUAUAUGCAUAAAACCUCCAUGUCUAAUUCGAUUUGGAGGUUUUAUUUUUGCGGU
rfam:Bacillus shackletonii strain LMG 18435 super11, whole genome shotgun sequence.